UACGUAGGUGGCGAGCGUUGUCCGGAUUUACUGGGCGUAAAGAGCGCGCAGGCGGUCGUUCAAGUCGCGUGUGAAAGCCCCCGGCUCAACUGGGGAGGGUCACGCGAUACUGAUCGACUCGAAGGCAGGAGAGGGAAGUGGAAUUCCCGGUGUAGUGGUGAAAUGCGUAGAUAUCGGGAGGAACACCAGAGGCGAAGGCGGGUUACUGGGCUGAUACUGACGCUGAUGCGCGAAAGCCAGGGGAGCAAACGGG
rnacentral:rRNA from 1 species